CAUUAAAAAUUUUUCUUACCCGUCUCCUCAUGUCUCAUUGAGCAGGGUGUACAUCUCUAAAUACUUGUGCCUUCAAACGUUUUAAUAUAAAUAACUUACACUACCACGGGGCACAUUGAGAGAUGGAAAGAUUAUUUUCAUCUACAUUAAAGGAGAAUUACAAGCUUCAUAAGCAUAUAUCUCCGGCGGCCGUGCCGAAUCGCCCUUCUCUGUCAUACCCAUCCAAUACGAUCAGUCCCGCACAAAUCUCCUAAUCCGCUACAAUAUUAUUCGAGUACCUACCCGCGCUCCACGUAAGCACUCACCCGCAAACUGUACUCAGAAACAAUUUGCAUUUUUUUGCCUAACCUGUAGCCCUAAAGUAGCAAAAACAUUUCCGUUAAGAGGCAAAUCUCGUUCGUCAGGCUUGGAAUUCUCCCUUGAUAGAGUGAAAAUAAAACAACAAACACGACGGGCCGACUGAAAUGGAAUAAUUGGUCGAGAAUUUUCUAGCAGGGGUUCUCUCACCACUGCUAACGAACUCCGGGAGGAUGGCGAUUGGAAUUGGAAGUAGAGUUUGCCAUUGUCUCAGGUAAAGAUGACAAAAUGGCAGAUGUUGAACUUGUUACUCUGUCGCAUGGUUUCCCAAAUUGUGGUUAGAUAAGAAAGAUGAAUGUCAUCAGGCCUUUUGAGAUUUUGCUGCUCAUAACCAAGUCUUUCAGUAAGUUUGUGAUGUAAUAUUACUUUAUUUGUUUGGUUGCAACAUUACUAGCUCUAGCACCGCUCAUAUGAUGCUUUCAUGAAUGUGAGUUGCUUGGCUUGAAUGACUUCCUAAAAGCAGAGUGGGUACAGUGGCAUGGUCGUGCUCCUGGAAUACCAAAUUGGUUAGACCCAGGGUGAUUCGUUGCUCAUAUUGUGCCUGCAAAUUGGUCAGACUGGAGCCAGAUUUGAACUAGAGACACAAGGAUUUUCAGUCCUCUGCUCUAUCAUCUGAGCUAUCCCGACCAGUCGCAAUGUAGCAUCCUCAUUUUGUGAGAUAAGGGGGGCUAUGUCAAUUAAAAGAAGGAAAGGGGAUUACAAAGUUUUAUCAAGGUACUAGAAUUUCUUGGAUCUUAAAAAAGAGUACUUUGUAAGUUAUCACUAUUGGAGGUUGGACUUCAAGCCGACUACCUUCACCUACGUGUGUUCUUCUUGCAAAGUGGAUAAUGGUUCAUCGUUUAAGGUAUAAUUCUACACUUACCUCUUACCACAUGAACGCUAAUCAAAGCUUGAUGAACUUAUAGGAAUAGAAAAUUUUAAAAUUCAACUAUACUUGUAUGCUUGGUUCCUUACAAUGCUAUCAGAACCAAUUUUGAUUAAAUCGUGUAAUUUGUUUAUUCGGUUGUUAUGUAUAUUGAUGUGAUCAAGUUAUAUGCUAUUCUUGAAGUUAAAGUUUAAGUUUUUCUAAACAAAAAAUUCUUGUAAAAGUCUGUUGUAAAGUUUUGAUGCUUCAAAUUUAUUUUCUGGUUUAAAAUAAAUUUUAUGUUUAAAAGAUAAGGACAAAAUUGGCAGAAAAAAUUUGAAGAAAAAUUGCAUAGGUUAUGUGAUUUUGGUGAACAAAGUUUAUCGGUUUUGGUUCAUGUUGAAUUGGCUACAUUUGAUCCAAUUUUUCAUACAUGAGAUGAUGAGAAAGCAUAUUUAGAAAUUAAAAAUGGAUUUGGAAAGUUGGUACUAAAAAGAAUUGAAGCAAGAAUAGAAACUAAUUAAAAUUUUAUAAGAAAAUCGGUUUCCGAGUGGAGAAUUGGUUUCUUUAUUUGUUUUGGUCUCGAAAAGAAAUUUUGAAAGGACUCAUAUUUUUUUUUUAUUUUUUGUGCUAUAUGUAUUUUAAUUUGAUUAAAAUUAAAGAUGUUUUUGGAUAUUUAGAAGUACCAAAAUUUUUUAGAAAAUUUCAAAAUGUGUAAAAAAAAAAAAAUCUACCUAGGGUUUUGGAUCUGUGAUAGGAUCCGUAAGGAUCUUUGCCAGAUUGAUGGGUGGAUCCUAGAAGGAUUAAAUCCCAGAAGGAUUAUCAUCUGAUGGAGAUCCUAUGAUGACCCCACCCCACCACAUCCUAGGGCGAAUCAAAGAAUUAAGUGGACUGCCUGCCUGGCUCUCACUUGAAUGAACUCACUCACAUUAACUUUAGAGAUAACAUUUCACUAACUAAAACCAUUUACAAUUCUUUAUACUUAGGUGCAUGACAAACAAAAGUAUAGUAGUCUUAGCCUACAACUUCAUAAUAUGUACAACCAUUAAAGGUAGUAAGGUCAGCAAAACUAAAACAUUAAGUACAAAAGGAUUCCUCCUCGUACACUUCAAGACUCGGCUUAAGGUUCCGGCUACUCUUUGCACCCAUCCUUUAUUCCUAUAAGGAAAACAAACUAAUGGGUUGAGCGAAACCCAUUGAGGUUCCGCACAUGCAUCCAUCAAUUAAACACUUAAACAAGUAACAAAAUUAAACAAACAAGAAACACUUUACUGUGCAUUCACUUUUAAAAGGAUACAAUACUCGUAUUAGAGUCACUUCAAUGCACUACAUACUCCACCGUACCUCCCCUUAUAACCUCCAAAAAAUUAAACAUUUCCCUCACUUAGAUGGCCAUAUCAAUAUUCCGCUACUCCGUGGUAGUACUCGAGUAUAGCAAUACACUCACCCAAAGCUACUGUCCUAUCUGACCAAGCCCUUUACAAGCUCAAAGAGUCUGUUGAACAGAGGGUUUGGGGUCCAGUUUAGCUGGUACGAUGAAGUACAUACAUGGUUUACAGUCAUGUGCGCUUAUAACAACAACAUGACAAUUAUAAAUCUUCAAACUCAAGCUAAGUCGAGUGUGAUAAAGUACACUCUCAACUUUAUAUGACAAAGGGCAAUUGAAACACAUUAUAAUAAAGCACUGGCAUAAUCAUAUAACCACACAAGUAAUUUAAAUCCACAAAUGUGGAAACACUCACCCAAAAUAUUUUGAGUUCACUCCCCGGUACCUAGACCCUCCUUCGGUUCUCCCUUGGCUCCUGAGAUAGUUAUAAACUUAUUAGGCUA